UACGUAGGAGGCAAGCGUUGUCCGGAAUUACUGGGCGUAAAGCGCGUGUAGGUGGUGGGACAAGUCUGCUGUGAAAGCGCCUGGCUUAACCGGGCGAGGUCGGCGGAAACUGUCCGACUCGAGGACGGUAGAGGGGGUGGAAUUCCCGGUGUAGUGGUGAAAUGCGUAGAGAUCGGGAGGACACCAGAGGCGAAGGCGGCGACCUGGACAGGUACUGACACUCAAC
rnacentral:rRNA from 1 species